AGAGUUUGAUCCUGGCUCAGGAUGAACGCUGGCGGCGUGCUUAACACAUGCAAGUCGAACGAACCUUCGGGUUAGUGGCGGACGGGUGAGUAACGCGUGAGAAUCUGCCCUCAGGAGGGGGAUAACGGCUGGAAACGGCCGCUAAUACCCCAUAUGCCGAGAGGUGAAACGAAUUUCGCCUGAGGAUGAGCUCGCGUCUGAUUAGCUAGUUGGUGGGGUAAAGGCCUACCAAGGCAUCGAUCAGUAGCUGGUCUGAGAGGAUGAUCAGCCACACUGGGACUGAGACACGGCCCAGACUCCUACGGGAGGCAGCAGUGGGGAAUUUUCCGCAAUGGGCGCAAGCCUGACGGAGCAACGCCGCGUGAGGGAUGAAGGCCUCUGGGCUGUAAACCUCUUUUAUCAAGGAAGAAGAUCUGACGGUACUUGAUGAAUAAGCCACGGCUAAUUCCGUGCCAGCAGCCGCGGUAAUACGGGAGUGGCAAGCGUUAUCCGGAAUUAUUGGGCGUAAAGCGUCCGCAGGCGGUCUUGUAAGUCUGUCGUUAAAGCGUGGAGCUUAACUCCAUUUGAGCGAUGGAAACUGUAAGACUAGAGUGUGGUAGGGGCAGAGGGAAUUCCCGGUGUAGCGGUGAAAUGCGUAGAUAUCGGGAAGAACACCAGUGGCGAAGGCGCUCUGCUGGGCCAUAACUGACGCUCAUGGACGAAAGCCAGGGGAGCGAAAGGGAUUAGAUACCCCUGUAGUCCUGGCCGUAAACGAUGAACACUAGGUGUCGGGGGAAUCGACCCCCUCGGUGUCGUAGCCAACGCGUAAAGUGUUCCGCCUGGGGAGUACGCACGCAAGUGUGAAACUCAAAGGAAUUGACGG
rnacentral:rRNA from 1 species